rnacentral:rRNA from 1 species
AUGAACGCUGGCGGCGUGCCUAAUACAUGCAAGUCGAGCGAGCAGACGAGGAGCUUACUCCUCUGACGUUAGCGGCGGACGGGUGAGUAACACGUGGAUAACCUACCUAUAAGACUGGGAUAACUUCGGGAAACCGGAGCUAAUACCGGAUAAUAUAUUGAACCGCAUGGUUCAAUAGUGAAAGACGGUUUUGCUGUCACUUAUAGAUGGAUCCGCGCCGCAUUAGCUAGUUGGUAAGGUAACGGCUUACCAAGGCAACGAUGCGUAGCCGACCUGAGAGGGUGAUCGGCCACACUGGAACUGAGACACGGUCCAGACUCCUACGGGAGGCAGCAGUAGGGAAUCUUCCGCAAUGGGCGAAAGCCUGACGGAGCAACGCCGCGUGAGUGAUGAAGGUCUUCGGAUCGUAAAACUCUGUUAUUAGGGAAGAACAAAUGUGUAAGUAACUAUGCACGUCUUGACGGUACCUAAUCAGAAAGCCACGGCUAACUACGUG